AGAGUUUGAUCCUGGCUCAGGAUGAACGCUAGCGGCAGGCUUAACACAUGCAAGUCGAGGGGCAGCGGGGAGGAAGCUUGCUUUCUCCGCCGGCGACCGGCGCACGGGUGAGUAACACGUAUGCAACCUGCCCCUGUCAGGGGGACAACCCGCCGAAAGGCGGGCUAAACCCGCGUACAUGCCACCGGGGCAUCCCGGAGGCAGGAAAGGCUUCGGCCAGACAGGGAUGGGCAUGCGGCGCAUUAGGCAGUAGGCGGGGUAACGGCCCACCUAACCGACGAUGCGUAGGGGUUCUGAGAGGAAGGUCCCCCACACUGGUACUGAGACACGGACCAGACUCCUACGGGAGGCAGCAGUGAGGAAUAUUGGUCAAUGGUCGGGAGACUGAACCAGCCAAGCCGCGUGAGGGAGGAAGGUACAGAGUAUCGUAAACCUCUUUUGUCAGGGAACAAAGGCGGGGACGUGUCCCCGGAUGAGUGUACCUGAAGAAAAAGCAUCGGCUAACUCCGUGCCAGCAGCCGCGGUAAUACGGAGGAUGCGAGCGUUAUCCGGAUUUAUUGGGUUUAAAGGGUGCGCAGGCGGUCUGUUAAGUCAGCGGUCAAAGCCCGGGGCUCAACCCCGGCCCGCCGUUGAAACUGGCAGUCUCGAGUUGGAGAGAAGUAUGCGGAAUGCGCGGUGUAGCGGUGAAAUGCAUAGAUAUCGCGCAGAACUCCGAUUGCGAAGGCAGCAUGCCGGCUCCACACUGACGCUGAGGCACGAAAGCGUGGGUAUCGAACAGGAUUAGAUACCCUGGUAGUCCACGCAGUAAACGAUGAAUGCUGGCUGUCCGGGGGGACUGACCCCUGGGUGGCGAAGCGAAAGCGAUAAGCAUUCCACCUGGGGAGUACGCCGGCAACGGUGAAACUCAAAGGAAUUGACGGGGGCCCACACAAGCGGAGGAACAUGUGGUUUAAUUCGAUGAUACGCGAGGAACCUUACCCGGGCUCAAACGGGGAGUGGCGCAGGCAGAGACGCCUGUUUCCCACGGGACACUCCCCGAGGUGCUGCAUGGUUGUCGUCAGCUCGUGCCGUGAGGUGUCGGCUUAAGUGCCAUAACGAGCGCAACCCCCGCGUGCAGUUGCUAACAGUCAACGCUGAGGACUCUGCACGGACUGCCGGCGCAAGCCGCGAGGAAGGCGGGGAUGACGUCAAAUCAGCACGGCCCUUACGUCCGGGGCGACACACGUGUUACAAUGGGUGGUACAGCGGGAAGCCAGGCGGCGACGCCGAGCGGAACCCGAAAUCCACUCUCAGUUCGGAUCGGGGUCUGCAACCCGACUCCGUGAAGCUGGAUUCGCUAGUAAUCGCGCAUCAGCCAUGGCGCGGUGAAUACGUUCCCGGGCCUUGCACUCACCGCCCGUCA
rnacentral:rRNA from 1 species